rnacentral:rRNA from 1 species
GAUGAACGCUAGCGGCAGGCUUAACACAUGCAAGUCGAGGGGUAACAGGGGAGCUUGCUUCCGCUGACGACCGGCGCACGGGUGCGUAACGCGUAUAGAACCUACCUUUUACAGGAGAAUACCCCAGAGAAAUUUGGAAUAAUGCUCCAUAGUAUUAUUGAAUGGCAUCGUUUAAUAAUUAAACAUUUAUGGGUAAAAGAUGGCUAUGCGUUCUAUUAGCUAGAUGGUAAGGUAACGGCUUACCAUGGCAACGAUAGAUAGGGGUCCUGAGAGGGAGAUCCCCCACACUGGUACUGAGACAGGGACCAGACUCCUACGGGAGGCAGCAGUGAGGAAUAUUGGACAAUGGAGGCAACUCUGAUCCAGCCAUGCCGCGUGCAGGAAGACGGUCCUAUGGAUUGUAAACUGCUUUUAUACAGGAAGAAACACUCCCUCGUGAGGGAGCUUGACGGUACUGUAUGAAUAAGCACCGGCUAACUCCGUGCCAGCAGCCGCGGUAAUACGGAGGGUGCAAGCGUUAUCCGGAAUCAUUGGGUUUAAAGGGUCCGUAGGCGGGCUAAUAAGUCAGGGGUGAAAUCCAACAGCUUAACUGUUGAACUGCCUUUGAUACUGUUAGUCUUGAAUUAUAUGGAAGUAGAUAGAAUGUGUAGUGUAGCGGUGAAAUGCUUAGAGAUUACACAGAAUACCGAUUGCGAAGGCAGUCUACUACGUA